UAUGGGGGUUUAGGCGAGGGACAUUACCGGGAAGUUACAGGCGGGAGGACUGUUCCCCGUCCCGGCACCUGACAGGUCACCAACAUGUCGGACAAAAGUGAACUAAAGGCAGAGUUGGAACGUAAGAAACAGCGGUUGGCCCAAAUCAGAGAGGAAAAGAAGAGAAAAGAAGAAGAAAGGAAAAAAAAAGAAACUGAUCAGAAGAAGGAAGCUGUUGCUCCUGUACAAGAAGAAUCAGAUCUUGAAAAAAAAAGAAGAGAAGCCGAAGCACUGCUUCAAAGCAUGGGUCUAACUCCAGAAUCCCCCACUGUCCCUCCUCCUAUGUCUCCAUCCUCCAAAUCUGUGAGCACUCCAAGUGAAGCUGGAAGCCAAGACUCUGGAGAUGGCACCGUGGGAUCUAGACGAGGACCUAUUAAACUUGGAAUGGCUAAAAUUACACAAGUUGAUUUUCCUCCUCGAGAAAUUGUCACAUAUACAAAGGAAACUCAGACUCCAGUUAUGGCUCAACCAAAAGAAGAUGAAGAGGAAGAGGAUGACGUAGUGGCUCCUAAACCACCUACUGAACCUGAAGAAGAGAAAACUUUAAAGAAAGAUGAGGAAAAUGAUAGUAAAGCUCCUCCUCAUGAGCUGACUGAGGAAGAAAAGCAGCAAAUCUUGCACUCUGAGGAAUUUUUAAGUUUCUUUGAUCAUUCUACAAGAAUUGUAGAAAGAGCUCUUUCUGAGCAGAUUAACAUCUUCUUUGACUACAGUGGGAGAGAUUUGGAAGACAAAGAAGGAGAGAUUCAAGCAGGUGCUAAACUAUCAUUAAAUCGACAAUUUUUUGACGAACGUUGGUCAAAGCAUCGGGUUGUUAGUUGUUUGGAUUGGUCAUCUCAGUAUCCAGAGUUACUCGUGGCUUCCUAUAACAACAAUGAAGAUGCUCCUCAUGAGCCUGAUGGUGUGGCCCUUGUAUGGAACAUGAAAUACAAAAAAACUACCCCAGAGUAUGUGUUUCACUGCCAGUCAGCUGUGAUGUCUGCUACGUUUGCAAAAUUUCAUCCAAAUUCAAAACAAAAACCACAUGAUCAUAUCACUAGAUGCAGAAAAAGCUUUUGAUAAAAUCC